rnacentral:lncRNA from 1 species
ACAUUAUUAUGAGCCAUUCUCCCCUCCGCAUCCUCCUGUGAGUCACACACACACAAUCCAUUCAGUCAGACCAUACAUUUUACUAUGAGCAGUUUUUUUCUGUUGCUCAACUACUUUCAAAGAAUAGCUUGUGUUCACUAGCUUCAAAUUUUCAUUACAUUCACCCAGAAUCUUGGAGCACUUUUGUUGGAAAUUAUGUCUGUGAUAUUUGGAGGAUCCAUCUUAGCCAUUUGCAUGCUGUCAUCUCCCCCUUGUUCCUCAGAAAAUGAAAUAGUGAAGAGGAUCCAACUACAGAAUAACAGAAUCACACAUUUGUCUCUUGUAAAACACUAUCAUUGUGCUACAUUUCCCCUAGUCACUAAGCCAGAGGCCAAUUUGAAGAAGAAGCGAAAGAGGUGAGUGUUUGGUUAGAGAGUGAGGAGGAUGCAGAGAGAAAGAAAACACGGCCCAAACUACUUUGUUUCAAUACCCAUCACAAAUCGUAAAGUACGAUUUUAUGAAUUCGUUUUUUUGUUUGUUGAAAAGUAAAUGUUAAAUUGUUAUUUUGGUGUUAUUUUGGUGUAUUUCUCAAGUUUCUCCACAUGAACUGACUGAUAAUUGGAAUACAUUACUGCUUGUUUCACUUUAAAUGUCAUCACAAGGCAACUGCUGGAACUGAAUGGCCAGAGAGUGAAUGGCAUGCUCUACUUGUGCAGAUCAGUGUAGGCGUGGGGGCGGUGCAGGCCCUGGUGAUGCAGAGGGACUCCAGACUCACUCGGGCACUGGUGCCUGUAGCCAGUCUCCACAUCAUGCUGCUGGUGACCCACUUGGCCAGUCAAGAGGAAGUGAACUUGGCAGUGUGUGCAGUGGCCCAGAUGAAGGCAUCGCUGCAGGACCUGCUGCGGGGGCGAGAGCUCAUCCUACCCUUCCAUAGCAUCGGACACUUCAGGAAGGUGGCGUUUUAUAGAGUUGGCCCAGGGAGAAAACGUUGUCAAACUGGUCCAGAUUGCAGGUCUUGUGAGGAAAACGUUUGAGGAGAAAUGCCUCUCAUCUGGUGACCGCAAAGCCUUCAAGCCUCACCUUAUCUUCAUGAAGCUGUCCAAAACUCCUCAGCUACACAGUCAGGUGAGCCUCAUCACUCCUGCUGGAAUGAUAUGCAUAGAGAGAACACAGCUGUGUGGAGGACUAG